rnacentral:rRNA from 1 species
GUCCACGCAGUAAACGAUGAAUACUAGCUGUAUGCGAUAUACUGUAUGUGGCAAAGCGAAAGCGUUAAGUAUUCCACCUGGGGAGUACGUUCGCAAGAAUGAAAACUCAAAAGGAAUUGACGGGGGGCCCCGCACAAGCGGAGGAACAUGUGGUUUAAUUCGAUGAUACGCGAGGAACCUUACCCGGGCUUGAAAUGCAUCUGACCGAUCAGGAAACUGAUUUUCAGCAAUAGCAGAUGUGUAGGUGCUGCAUGGUUGUCGU